rnacentral:rRNA from 1 species
CCUGCGGAGGAUCAUUACAUUCAGUAGCCUAGCUACUUGUUUACACCCUUGUUCUUGCGUACCUAUUGUUUCCUCGGCGGGCUUGCUCGCCGGUUGGACAAAACUAUAACCUUUUUUAAAUCUUCAAUCAGCGUCUGAAUUAUACAUAAUAAUUACAACUUUCAACAACGGAUCUCUUGGUUCUGGCAUCGAUGAGGAACGCAGCGAAAUGCGAUAAGUAGUGUGAAUUGCAGAAUUCAGUGAAUCAUCGAAUCUUUGAACGCACAUUGCGCCCCUUGGUAUUCCAUGGGGCAUGCCUGUUCGAGCGUCAUUUGUACCCUCAAGCUUUGCUUGGUGUUGGGCGUCUUGUCUUGUAUUAGACUCGCCUUAAAGUCAUUGGCAGCCAGUGUUUUUGGUAGUAAGCGCAGCACAUUUUGCGUCUUAGUCCUUGAAUUGUGGCAUCCAUGAAGCCUUUUCUCACUUUUGACCUCGGAUCAGGUAGGGAUACCCGCUGAACUUAAGCAUAUCAAUAAGCGGAGGAA